rnacentral:rRNA from 1 species
UACAGAGGGUGCGAGCGUUAAUCGGAAUUACUGGGCGUAAAGCGCGCGUAGGCGGCUUUGCAAGCCGGAUGUGAAAUCCCCGGGCUUAACCUGGGAACUGCAUUCGGGACUGCAUUGCUAGAGUAUGGGAGAGGGAAGUGGAAUUUCAGGUGUAGCGGUGAAAUGCGUAGAUAUCUGAAGGAACAUCAGUGGCGAAGGCGGCAUCCUGGACCGGCAUUGACGCUGAGGCGCGAAAGCCAGGGGAGCAAACGGG